AAAAAGAUAAGCUAAUCAAGCUACUGGGUUCAUACCCCAUUUAUAAAGGUUCCAAUCCUUUUCUUUUUAAUUUUUAAUA
rnacentral:tRNA from 1 species